rnacentral:rRNA from 1 species
AACGGGGGGGCUGGCGAUAUUCAUCAUGGACUGGGCGUAUAGGGAUUGUAGGUGGCUUUUUAAAUUAAAAUCUGAAAAGCUAAAUUUUUUAUUAUGCACGCGAUUUAUGAUUAUCUAGCUAGAGUUUAGUAGAAGAUUAAGGGUACUCUUGAUGAAGAGGUGGCAUUCGUUGAUAUCGAUGGGGACCGUCAGAGGUGAAGAACGCUUUUCUAUGGUAAACUAACACUCAGAAUCUAUAGCAUGGGCGCAAACAGG